GCACCUAUUUUGAAUGGGAGUCUGUAUAAAUUAGCCUAUGUUCCUUCACGUGUAAAACUUUUUUUGUGGAUUGAUUAACAGGAAUACUGAUGAGAAACCAGGCUGGUGCAGUAAUCCACGUUGGCCUCCUUGUGCAGCUUUUGUUGAAAUAAUGGCUCCUGUGUUCUCUCGAGAAGCAUGGCGAUGUGUUUGGCAUAUGAUUCAGAAU
rnacentral:misc_RNA from 1 species